GGGAGAACCAAACCGCUUGAAAAUUUUCGCGAAUCGGCAUUUGGUAUAUUUUAAAUAUACCGACGGAAUACCGACGAACCCGUGUCCGUCGGAAUCCACGGAAAUAAAAAUCCUUCUCCUUUCUUCUUCGUUAUCUCCGCGGCCUCUCUCUCUCUCAAAACUCUCCGGCGAUUUCGGCGAUUUCGGCGACUCUCCGGCGAUUCCGGCCUCUCUUCACCGGCG
rnacentral:lncRNA from 1 species